rnacentral:rRNA from 1 species
GGCGAACGGGUGCGUAACACGUGAGCAAUAUUCCGAUUUGUGGGGGAUAGCCUGGCCCAACGGCCGGGUAAUACCGCAUACGCUCACCGAGGGGAGUCCCUUGGUGAGGAAACCUCCGGGGCAAAUCGAGUAGCUCGCGGCCUAUCAGCUAGUUGGUGCGGGUAACGGCCCACCAAGGCGACGACGGGUAGCUGGUCUGAGAGGAUGGCCAGCCACAUUGGGACUGAGAAACGGCCCAGACUCCUACGGGAGGCAGCAGUGGGGAAUCUUGCGCAAUGGACGAAAGUCUGACGCAGCGACGCCGCGUGAGGGAGGAAGCUCUUCGGGGUGUAAACCUCUGUUGCCCGGAACGAAACUCAGGAUUCGUCCUGAUUGACGGUACCGGGUGAGGAAGCACCGGCUAACUCCGUGCCAGCA